GGCCUAGUCUGAAAGGAAAGCAUGGCAUGGUGGAGAUACUCUGUAUUCUCCUGGAUGGAUUCUCCUGGAUUAAAGAUGGGCCGCUGUCAAAGCACCUGACCAAGACUGACAACUGGUGAAUGGAAAACCGGAAUAAGCACUUGGAAGAA